UCCACACACUUCAUUUUUUAUUUCUCCACCACUAUAUUCCAUAUUCAGCACUACAUCUUGCAGAUUCCUCAUUAGAAAUCCUCUCUCUCUAAUCUUCUAAAUUACCAUUUUCUUUCCUCCUACUCCUCACGGGUCCUUCAAAGAAAUUAUCAAGUUUGUUUCAAGUUCCAAAUCAAGAAUCAAGGUGUGUAAAAUUUUGUUUAUUUCCUCCAUUAAUUUUUCGAGGAUUACAUUCUAACACCUAGCAUCAUUUAUGCAGAAGCCACAAAUCCUCAUCUGCCUCUUCAAGGUUAUUUCCAGCAUAAACAACUUCUUUUAGAUUAUUAUUGCUUCAAUUACAUCAUCUUAUCAAGCAUCAGAGGACCACCAACAAACAAACACACACUCAUAAUCAUUAUUUUCACCUAACUAUUACAAUUACAAGAAUUUCAAGAUCUGAUAAAAAGAAAUGAUGAAAGAACAGAAUUUCUAAACAAAACCCUAACUUUCUAUAUGUGAAUCUGGACUGAAAUUGAGCCUUCUUGUGUCUUUAUUGUGUGUGACCGGGGACGGAGGGAGGAGUGAGAGCAGCCGACGGCUGCUCAGGGCCGGCGACGGCGACGGCUCGGCGGCAAGCCGCCGCCUUUUAUUUUU
rnacentral:lncRNA from 1 species